rfam:Erinaceus europaeus unplaced genomic scaffold scaffold00162, whole genome shotgun sequence
GUUAGCAGAAAAUCACCCUUGGCCUGGACCAUGCUAGUAGGUGAGGUCCUGAACCAAGCAAUCAGGACCUCAGCUCACCACCUGCCUGCAGUGCAUUCAGGUGAAACCCAGGCUCCAACAAGC